rnacentral:rRNA from 1 species
GAUGAACGCUGGCGGCGUGCCUAAUACAUGCAAGUCGAGCGAACGGACGAGAAGCUUGCUUCUCUGAUGUUAGCGGCGGACGGGUGAGUAAAACGUGGAUAACCUACCUAUAAGACUGGGAUAACUUCGGGAAACCGGAGCUAAUACCGGAUAAUAUUUUGAACCGCAUGGUUCAAAAGUGAAUGACGGUUUUGCUGUCACUUUUAGACGGUUUCGCGCUGCAUUAGCUAGUUGGUAAGGUAACGGCUUACCAAGGCAACGAUGCAUAGCCGACCUGAGAGGGUGAUCGGCCACACUGGAACUGAGACACGGUCCAGACUCCUACGGGAGGCAGCAGUAGGGAAUCUUCCGCAAUGGGCGAAAGCCUGACGGAGCAACGCCGCGUGAGUGAUGAAGGUCUUCGGAUCGUAAAACUCUGUUAUUAGGGAAGAACAUAUGUGUAAGUAACUGUGCACAUCUUGACGGUACCUAAUCAGAAAGCCACGGCUAACUACGUG